UGGGGAAUCUUGGACAAUGGGGGGCAACCCUGAUCCAGCCAUGCCGCGUGAGUGAUGAAGGCCUUAGGGUCGUAAAGCUCUUUCGCCUGUGAAGAUAAUGACGGUAGCAGGUAAAGAAACCCCGGCUAACUCCGUGCCAGCAGCCGCGGUAAUACGGAGGGGGUUAGCGUUGUUCGGAAUUACUGGGCGUAAAGCGCACGUAGGCGGACCAGAAAGUUGGGGGUGAAAUCCCGGGGGCUCAACCCCGGAACUGCCUCCAAAACUAUUGGUCUAGAGUUCGAGAGAGGUGAGUGGAAUUCCAAGUGUAGAGGUGAAAUUCGUAGAUAUUUGGAGGAACACCAGUGGCGAAGGCGGCUCACUGGCUCGAUACUGACGCUGAGGUGCGAAAGUGUGGGGAGCAAACAGGAUUAGAUACCCCUGGUAGUCCACACCGUAAAACGAUGAAUGCCAGUCGUCGGGUAGCAUGCUAUUCGGUGACACACCUAACGGAUUAAGCAUUCCGGCCUGGGGGAGUACGGUCGCAAGAUUAAAA
rnacentral:rRNA from 1 species